rnacentral:lncRNA from 1 species
GUGGCCUGACAGAAAGAAGUAUUGGCCACACACUACUGUGGUAUGUGAACUUGCAGAGCUGGAAGGCAUUGCUGCUCACAUCCACGACCCACUCCACUCUCGAGGAUCUGCACUUUCUUUUUAAUGAGGCAAUGAGGCUGUGGGAAUCUCAGGCAUGAAACAUUUGUGGGAUAAUGGGCUGAAUGUUGCGCAUUUCCAACCACAUGCUAGGUGCCUCAUCUGUCAUAUCCAAAGCAAAGGAACUGGUCAAGGGGGCAAGUGAAGGAGUCCAUCACACUGGAGAGCAGGCAUGCUGCUCACUCUCCCAGGGGCAGGAGCAGCUCAAGUUGUGAUUGUGCCUACACUUGGUCAUGGAGUAUAUCUUCAGGAAUGUUCAUUGGAAGGAGGAAUGAAGAAGAAAUUGACCCGUCCAUUUUCUCUUGCCUCUCUUUGGCCAAGAUGGCACUAUGAGGAAUUAACUACCUUGCAUUCCAGCUUGCUGCUGCAUUUGUGCAGGAAAUAUUAAGCUUGCUGAUGAGAAAGGAGAAGAAGUAGAGAAAACAACGUACAGUUAGGCCUAUAGGAAUCUGCCGAGGGGAACUGACAAGCCCUGCUCAGUCUUGCCCACUGUCUGCUUGGAGGAUCAGGAUGAGUUUGUUUACUUGAGACUACAUAGGAGUCAAGAACACAUUAAUCCUGUGAUGAAUGGACACCUUGCCUCUUCUUAUCCUUGGCCUCCUUAUGAAACUACCACCAUCUUGUUAAUUUGGGAAGUUUGUUGCUUUAUCAUUUCUUACUAUUGAGAAAUCUAAAUGGCAUAACAUUGUAAUACAAUUGUAAUCUUUACAUUCCCUUAAAUAUAUCUGGAGCAAUUUUCCAUUUUAUUACAUAAUCUUCUACAGUACAAUUUUAAUAAAAC